rnacentral:rRNA from 1 species
ANAGUUUGAUUCUGGCUCAGAACGAACGCUGGCGGCGUGGCUAAGGCAUGCAAGUCGAACGGACUCUUACAAGGGGUAACCCGAGUUUGAGUUAGUGGCGAACGGGUGAGGAAUACAUGGAUAACGUACCCCAGACUCAGGGAUAGCGGCGGGCUUCGGCCCUUUGCGAAAGCGCCGGUAAUACCUGAUGAUCCCGCGUGGUCACAUGAUCGUGCGGGCAAAGCCCCGACGGUCUGGGAUCGGUUCAUGGCCUAUCAGCUUGUUGGUGGGGUAACGGCCUACCAAGGCAUCGACGGGUACCGGGCGUGAGAGCGUGACCCGGCACAUCGGAACUGAGACACUGUCCGGACACCUACGGGUGGCUGCAGCAACGAAUAUUCCGCAAUGGACGCAAGUCUGACGGAGCGACGCCGCGUGCAGGAAGAAGUCCCUCGGGAUGUAAACUGCUGUCAGGGGUUAGGAACACCGACCAGCCCCAAAGGAAGCACUGGCUAACUCCGUGCCAGCAGCCGCGGUAAUAUGGAGAGUGCAAGCGUUGUUCGGAAUUACUGGGCUUAAAGAGCAUGUAGGCGGGACGACAAGUGUCGGGUGAAAGCCCCGGGCUCAACCCGGGAAUGCCCCGGCAAACUGUCGUUCUUGAGGUAGGUAGAGGUGACCGGAACAACUGGUGGAGCGGUGAAAUGCGUAGAUAUCAGUUGGAACGCCGGCGGCGAAAGCGGGUCACUGGACCUAUCCUGACGCUGAGAUGCGAAAGCGUGGGUAGCGAACGGGAUUAGAUACCCCGGUAGU